UUCAAUAGACUGCACAAGAACAAUAAGAAAAAAAUUCCUGUACUUCUUAUAAAAAUCUUACUCUUCCAAGAGGAUUAUUUCCAAAGGAGAGAAUCAGGGGACAGAAAGGUGCGAUCUAAGGAGAAGACUAGGAGGAAACUUAAUGCUGGUGAAAAGAAUGUGACUGAGAGCCUUAGUUUCCAAUCCUACAACUGGAUGUGCAAGGAUGGGCCCUUACAAACUCAUGGAGUCCUGAAGAGUGGAAAUAUAUUCACAGAAGGACAGGCAGAAAGGACAUCCAGAGCCUGCACUGAUGGCACAAGCAGAGACUUUCCCUGCAACACAAUUAUCCAAGAAAAUUAAACUUUUGUCUAUAAAAGGCAAGUAUUUCAAACUUCAUCAA